rnacentral:rRNA from 1 species
CCCUUUGGGUGUGACUGCGUACCUUUUGUAUAAUGGGUCAGCGACUUAUAUUCUGUAGCAAGGUUAACCGAAUAGGGGAGCCGGAGGGAAACCGAGUCUUAACCGGGCGUUAAGUUGCAGGGUAUAGACCCGAAACCCGGUGAUCUAGCCAUGGGCAGGUUGAAGGUUGGGUAACACUAACUGGAGGACCGAACCGACUAAUGUUGAAAAAUUAGCGGAUGACCUGUGGCUGGGGGUGAAAGGCCAAUCAAACCGGGAGAUAGCUGGUUCUCCCCGAAAGCUAUUUAGGUAGCGCCUCGUGAAUUCAUCUCCGGGGGUAGAGCACUGUUUCGGCUAGGGGGCCAUCCCGGCUUACCAACCCGAUGCAAACUGCGAAUACCGGAGAAUGUUAUCACGGGAGACACACGGCGGGUGCUAACGUCCGUCGUGAAGAGGGAAACAACCCAGACCGCCAGCUAAGGUCCCAAAGUCAUGGUUAAGUGGGAAACGAUGUGGGAAGGCCCAGACAGCCAGGAUGUUGGCUUAGAAGCAGCCAUCAUUUAAAGAAAGCGUAAUAGCUCACUGGUCGAGUCGGCCUGCGCGGAAGAUGUAACGGGGCUAAACCAUGCACCGAAGCUGCGGCAGCGACACUGUGUGUUGUUGGGUAGGGGAGCGUUCUGUAAGCCUGUGAAGGUGUGUCGUGAGGCAUGCUGGAGGUAUCAGAAGUGCGA